UUCCAUACAUUUUAAUUCUGGCGUAAGGAGCACAUUCACAUCCUUGUACAGUUCUAAGAGCUACUUUAGAGGAUCAUAGAGAAGAGUUCAUAGAUUCUGUGGCUUGGUAGAGAGAGAUACGAGUGAUUGAUUGGCUUCUUUAGUGCUAUAAAAUAUUGCGAGAUGUUGGUAGCCUUUUAGAUAAAAUGUGGAGUGUGGGGUGACUCUGGCUGUAAACUGAACUUGGUUCAGUUCAAAACUGCACUGUCAAAUCUGGACAGCAAGCUUAUAUCUAAAAAAUGAGUUAGCUAGGCUUAGAAUUUUGAGUUGGCCCCUUUACAUAAGUUUUAGAUAAAGUUCCAAGGUUUCUUUAGAGUAUUUAUUUGUGUCGUUUGGAUGUACGGUUUGAGAGCAUCCAUCAGUUUAGUUUGCUGUCCCGAAAUAUAUGUUCCUGGGUACAGUAUUUUGAUAUGGGAGAUUAGGCCCUGUUAGAGGUGGUAUUAAAAUAAAGUUACAUCAUGAAAAUUCUAGAGGCUGUUCUAUAGAUACUUAAACACAUAUCAUUUGUCAGGUUUCGUUUGGUAUAUUAAAUCCUAUGAAAUUAUCAAAGUGGGUUGUACUAUGUUGGACAGAAUUUUAUGUUUGGACUUGGGUGAAUGUAACCAGACUUAUACUCUCAGAUUUUGUCAUAGUUGAUGGUGUGAGGAAUUAUAAUGUGAUAAAGUAUAUAUGAGCUGUGGUCUUGGCGUAGAAAAGAUCCAAAUGACCAGUUGUAGCCUAGUUGUGUCAUAGAUAGUUUUUGUUUGCAUGGUUACAUGGUGUGGCUAAGGCAGAAGGUGUAACCAAAUAUGAUGCAGGUGAAGCUGCUGCAGAUCAGAAAGAGCAAAAAGGUUCAACAACCAUGAAAUCCUAGCUGAGGACGUGCGAGACUGGGAUAUAGCCAGUGACCGGGGGCAAGGGCAGCGUGCGCAGGGUGAUCGAUGAGGACUACUGCGGCCCGAUGGGAGUCGUGCUCUUCAACUACUCAGAGGCAGACUUCACCGUGAAGCCCCGCGACCGUGUCAUACAGAUUAUAGUCCAGGUGAUUGCGACGCAGGAGGUCCCCGGGGUGGAGGACCUCAACGCCACCGUUCGGAGGUCACCGAGGUGGAGGACGACGCCACCGUCUGGAUUUCCUCAAGGUGGAGGACCUCGACGCUUUGUACAUACAUCUAGAGAAGUGGUCUGGUUAGGUUGGUGGUGAAACACUAGAGAAGGUAAUAACCUUUUGAUGACGGUUGUGUGUGUCCUCGUGAUCUCUUCGAGUUGAGAUGUUGAAUGUUGCAUCCAUGAACACUGCAAGUGUUAAGAUGGUUCUGUGAAAUUUAU